ACUCCGGCGGUUUAACUCAUAGUGUAUGCAGGAUUACAAAGUACAAAAGGUUGGGGAUUCCAAUCCACUGGAUUGAUAACAAGUCUAACAACCAUUUGCAUGAUGCCAUAAUCACCUAGCCCAAUUGGUUUGGUGCUGCAAUAAUAUGCAUUAAUUAGUACCACAGAUAUAGAUUUUCACUCAAUUAAAUCAAUUCAUCUUUCCCUAUUUACACUUCAAAAUUUGGACUUCUUUGCCAGUAGUGAUUCUGAUACUGAGCAACCAAUUCAUAC